GGGCAGCCCGGAGAUGCGGCCAUUCAUCUUGCUUUUGUCCUGUGCGUUUCCGCCACUGCAGGCCACGCACGUGGACGCUCCAAUUACAGGUGCUCCCUGCAGCGCUCAAGGACAGUGGGAUCUCCAAGCUCACGCUCAAAAGCCCACAUGACAAACAAUGACAGGGAUGGAAAAAAGAGGAACAGACAGACAGACAGACUGACUGACUGACAUCCAACCCAACAGGCUCCAGAAGAAAAGCCCAAGGGCACAGAUCUCCAGUCCCUGGUCUAGGAUCUACCCUAAACUGAGAUGCAUCUACAAAGACUCUCUGUCCAAGUAAGGUCACAUUUUAAAGUCUCAGGAAGACAAGAAACUAGAGAGGAGAGAACACAAGCCAGUUUGCUCUAGACUGGCUUCACCCAGGAUGAUACUGGGAAGAUGGGUGCCUUUGUUUCCAUUCCAAAGUCAAAGAAAAUGAAGCAAGAGAUGCUAGGUGAUGGACUUCAACUCCCCAGGGAGAGUCCAGCAUCUCCAAACCUGCAUCCCACCCCUCCUCAAAUGAAUCAUGGCUCCUGAGUGAAGCCUGCAGCCCAGGGCAUGCCCUUGGCACUCUCAUGCUUAAAACUCCUCCCUGGUAUACCCCCCAACCCCAUUCAGACCUCCCUCAUCCUUUAUGUUCCUGCCAGCUAGAUGGCUCCUCUUUGCCCCAACAGGGCUGUGCUGGGCUCCUCCUCUGGUCUCUAUGCAUACCCCAAUAUUUCACUAUUAUUUCCUAUCUCCUUCCCCUGAUCUGCACGCUCCCAGAGGGCCAACUCCAAGGCAGACCCAUUGUCACAUGAUCACAGCUUAGCACACUAAUUGUAGGGGCAAGAAGUCCAUGAUAAGAAUUACAAUUAAAUCACAGAUAUGACAGCACUGCGUUGGACAAGCACAACUGAAACUUUUCUUACCAGUUUUCUAGUCAUCCUUUGCCUGAGAUCCUGAUCCCACCCAAAUCUGGGCCCAUAAAGCCCUAAUGUUUGUUUAGCCCAAAGGGCCAUGUCAUUUCAAAGGUUCAAGACUAGGAAACUGGCAAACCCCCUAUGUGAUAAACAGAAACCAGGAGAUUUGGUCAUGCGAUCCAAUCUUUAUCAAAUAUUAAUGUGUGCAGGAGUCACAGCGCGUGGGCACUUGCUUGUUGGAAACACACACCCUCAUUCAGCUGUGGCUGUGGCAGUUUUAGGCAAGUCUGUGGGGCAGAGUGGGGGGGGGAUGCUGCAGCAGACCCUGGGCACUCUUCUACAUCAAGGUUGUAGCUGAUCUGAGUGAGAGGUCAGAGC
rnacentral:lncRNA from 1 species